rnacentral:rRNA from 1 species
UACGGAGGUGGCAAGCGUUGCUCGGAAUCACUGGGCGUAAAGGGCGCGUAGGCGGGGAGGUAAGUCGGGUGUGAAAUCCCUCGGCCCAACCGAGGAACUGCGCCCGAGACUGCUUCUCUUGAGUCCCGGAGAGGAAGAUGGAAUUCCCGGUGUAGCGGUGAAAUGCGUAGAGAUCGGAAGGAACACCGGUGGCGAAGGCGGCUACCUGGCCUGAUACUGACACUGAGACGCGAAAGCUAGGGGAGCAAACGGG